rnacentral:rRNA from 1 species
CCGCGUGGAGGAUGAAGGUCUUCGGAUUGUAAACUCCUGUCAUGCGAGAACAAGAAAGUGAUAGUAUCGCAAGAGGAAGAGACGGCUAACUCUGUGCCAGCAGCCGCGGUAAUACAGAGGUCUCAAGCGUUGUUCGGAUUCAUUGGGCGUAAAGGGUGCGUAGGUGGCGUGGAAAGUUGAGUGUGAAAUCCUGGGGCUUAACCUCAGAACUGCACUCAAUACUCCCAUGCUAGAGGAAUGUAGAGGAGAGUGGAAUUCACAGUGUAGCAGUGAAAUGCGUAGAUAUCGUGAGGAAGACCAGUUGCGAAGGCGACUCUCUGGGCAUUUCCUGACACUGAGGCACGAAGGCCAGGGGAGCAAACGGGAUUAGAUACCCCGGUAGUCCUGGCAGUAAACGGUGCACGUUUGGUGUGGGCGGGCUCAGACCCCGUCCGUGCCGGAGCUAACGCGUUAAACGUGCCGCCUGGGAAGUACGGUCGCAAGAUUAAAACUCAAAGAAAUUGACGGGGGCCCGCACAAGCGGUGGAGUAUGUGGCUUAAUUCGAUGCAACGCGAAGAAA